GAUGAAGAACGUAGCGAAAUGCGAUACGUAAUGUGAAUUGCAGAAUUCAGUGAAUCAUCGAGUCUUUGAACGCACAUUGCGCCCCCUGGUAUUCCGGGGGGCAUGCCUGUCCGAGCGUCAUUGCUGCCCUCAAGCCCGGCUUGUGUGUUGGGUCUCGUCCCCCUUCCCGGGGGGACGGGCCCGAAAGGCAGCGGCGACACCGCGUCCGGUCCUCGAGCGUAUGGGGCUUUGUCACCCGCUCUGUAGGCCCGGCCGGCGCUUGCCGAUCAACCAAAACUUUUUUCCAGGUUGACCUCGGAUCAGGUAGGGAUACCCGCUGAACUUAAGCAUAUCAAUAAGCGGAGGA
rnacentral:misc_RNA from 1 species